rnacentral:rRNA from 1 species
GACGAACGCUGGCGGCGUGCUUAACACAUGCAAGUCGAACGGAAAGGCCCUGCUUUUGUGGGUUGCUCGAGUGGCGAACGGGUGAGUAACACGUGAGUAACCUGCCCUUGACUUUGGGAUAACUUCAGGAAACUGGGGCUAAUACCGGAUAUGAGCUCCUGCUGCAUGGUGUUGGUUGGAAAGUUUCGGCGGUUGGGGAUGGACUCGCGGCUUAUCAGCUUGUUGGUGGGGUAGUGGCUUACCAAGGCUUUGACGGGUAGCCGGCCUGAGAGGGUGACCGGCGACAUUGGGACUGAGAUACGGCCCAGAAGCCUACGGGAGGCAGCAGUGGGGAAUAUUGCACAAUGGGGGGAAGCCUGAGGCAGAAACGCCGCGUGCGGGAUGACGGGCUUCGGGUUGUAAACCGCUUUCGAAGGUGACGAAGAGUGAGUGACGGUAAUGGGUAAAGAAGCAACGGCUAACUACGUG